rnacentral:rRNA from 1 species
GUAGGGGGCUAGCGUUGUCCGGAUUCAUUGGGCGUAAAGAGCGUGUAGGCGGCCAGGUAGGUCAGCUGUGAAAACUGGAGGCUCAACCUUCAGACGUCGGCUGAAACCAUCUGGCUAGAGUCCGGGAGAGGAGAGUGGAAUUCCUGGUGUAGCGGUGAAAUGCGCAGAUAUCAGGAAGAACACCCGUGGCGAAAGCGGCUCUCUGGAACGGUACUGACGCUGAGACGCGAAAGCGUGGGGAGCGAACAGGAUUAGAUACCCUGGUAGUCCACGCCGUAAACGAUGGGCGCUAGGUGUGGGAGGUGUCGACUCCUUCCGUGCCGAAGCUAACGCAUUAAGCGCCCCGCCUGGGGAGUACGGCCGCAAGGCUAAA